rnacentral:rRNA from 1 species
CGACCUACGGGAGGCAGCAGUGGGGAAUAUUGGGCAAUGGGCGCAAGCCUGACCCAGCAAUGCCGCGUGAGUGAUGACGGCCUUCGGGUUGUAAAGCUCUGUCUUCAGGGACGAUAAUGACGGUACCUGAGGAGGAAGCCACGGCUAACUACGUGCCAGCAGCCGCGGUAAUACGUAGGUGGCAAGCGUUGUCCGGAUUUACUGGGUGUAAAGGGCGUGCAGCCGGGCUGACAAGUCAGAUGUGAAAUCCCGCGGCUCAACCGCGGAACUGCAUUUGAAACUGUCAGUCUUGAGUACCGGAGAGG